rnacentral:rRNA from 1 species
AGGACGAACGCUGGCGGCACGCCUAACACAUGCAAGUCGAGCGCCCAGCAAUGGGAGCGGCGGACGGGUGAGUAACACGUGGGAACAUGCCUUUCGGUACGGAACAACUGCGGGAAACUGCAGCUAAUGCCGUAUACGCCCUUACGGGGAAAGAUUUAUCGCCGAAAGAUUGGCCCGCGUCUGAUUAGCUAGUUGGUGAGGUAACGGCUCACCAAGGCUUCGAUCAGUAGCUGGUUUGAGAGAACGACCAGCCACAUUGGGACUGAGACACGGCCCAAACUCCUACGGGAGGCAGCAGUGGGGAAUCUUGGACAAUGGGGGAAACCCUGAUCCAGCGAUGCCGCGUGAGUGAUGAAGGCCUUCGGGUUGUAAAACUCUUUCGACGGGGACGAUAAUGACGGUACCCGUAGAAGAAGCUCCGGCUAACUUCGUGCCAGCAGCCGC